rnacentral:rRNA from 1 species
CCUACGGGGGGCAGCAGUGAGGAAUAUUGGUCAAUGGCCGUAAGGCUGAACCAGCCAAGUCGCGUGAAGGAAGAAGGUGCUAUGGAUUGUAAACUUCUUUUAUCAAGGGAUAAAGUUAUCCACGAGUGGCUGUUUGCGUGUACCCUAUGAAUAAGCAUCGGCUAACUCCGUGCCAGCAGCCGCGGUAAUACGGAGGAUGCGAGCGUUAUCCGGAUUUAUUGGGUUUAAAGGGUGCGUAGGUGGUUUGUUAAGUCAGCGGUAAAAGUUUGGGGCUCAACCAUAAAGUGCCGUUGAAACUGGGAGUCUUGAGGGGUCGGGAGGUAGGCGGAAUGCGCGGUGUAGCGGUGAAAUGCUUAGAUAUUACGCAGAACUCCGAUUGCGAAGGCAGCUUA